rnacentral:tRNA from 4 species
GCCAAAGUGCUGAAAUUGGUAGACAGGCACGCUUCAGGAGCGUGUGCCGUAAGGCGUGAGAGUUCGAGUCUCUCCUUUGGCA